GAGAGUGGGUAGUCCGCACGAGCGCACCCUAUCCUUAGUUGCCAGCACAUUAUGGUGGGGACUCUAAGGAGACUGCCUGGGAUAACCAGGAGGAAGGUGGGGAUGAUGUCAAGUCAGUAUGUCCCUUAUGUCCAGGGCUACACACGUGUUACAAUGGUUGGUACAGAGGGCAGCUAAGCCGCAAGGUGGAGCCAAUCCCCCAAAACCAACCCCAGUUCGGAUUGGAGUCUGCAACUCGACUCCAUGAAGCAGGAAUCGCUAGUAAUCGUGGAUCAGAACGCCACGGUGAAUACGUUCCCGGGUCUUGUACACACCGCCCGUCACGCCAUGGAAGUCAGUAGUACCCGAAUCGAGUGGCCCAACCUUAGGGAUGGAGCUCGUUAAGGUAAGACUGGUAACUGGGGCGAAGUCGUAACAAGGUAGCCGUACCGGAAGGUGCGGCUGGAUCACCUCCUUUU
rnacentral:rRNA from 1 species